GACGAACGCUGGCGGCGUGCCUAACACAUGCAAGUCGAACGAAGAAUGUUUUUCGGAAUAUUCUUAGCGGCGGACGGGUGAGUAACACGUGGGCAACCUGCCUUGGAGUGGGGGAUAACACCGGGAAAUCGGUGCUAAUACCGCAUAACAUACACAAACUGCAUGGUAAGUGUAUCAAAGGAGUAAUCCGCUUUAAGAUGGGCCCGCGGCUGAUUAGCUAGUUGGUAAGGUAACGGCUUACCAAGGCGACGAUCAGUAGCCGACCUGAGAGGGUGACCGGCCACACUGGAACUGAGACACGGUCCAGACUCCUACGGGAGGCAGCAGUGGGGAAUAUUGCGCAAUGGGGGGAACCCUGACGCAGCAACGCCGCGUGGAGGAAGAAGGUCUUCGGAUUGUAAACUCCUGUCUUCUGGGACGAAGUAUGACGGUACCAGAGGAGGAAGCCACGGCUAACUACGUGCCAGCAGCCGCGGUAAGCUCGUCUCUA
rnacentral:rRNA from 1 species